UGGGGAAUAUUGCACAAUGGGGGAAACCCUGAUGCAGCAACGCCGCGUGAGUGAUGACGGCCUUCGGGUUGUAAAGCUCUGUCUUCAGGGACGAUAAUGACGGUACCUGAGGAGGAAGCCACAGCUAACUACGUGCCAGCAGCCGCGGUAAUACGUAGGUGGCAAGCGUUGUCCGGAUUUACUGGGCGUAAAGGGAGCGUAGGCGGACUUUUAAGUGAGAUGUGAAAUACCCGGGCUCAACCUGGGUGCUGCAUUUCAAACUGGAAGUCUAGAGUGCAGGAGAGGAGAGUGGAAUUCCUAGUGUAGCGGUGAAAUGCGUAGAGAUUAGGAAGAACACCAGUGGCGAAGGCGACUCUCUGGACUGUAACUGACGCUGAGGCUCGAAAGCGUGGGGAGCAAACA
rnacentral:rRNA from 1 species